GGAGCUAUAGCUCAGUUGGUUAGAGCGCAGGUCUCAUACCACUUUACGUAUGAUUCUCCCGAAAACAAAAACGGGAGGAGUAAUCCUGAGGUCGAGAGUUCGAAUCUCCCUAGCUUCA
rnacentral:tRNA from 1 species